UACGUAGGGGGCAAGCGUUGUCCGGAAUCAUUGGGCGUAAAGCGCGCGUAGGCGGCCCGAUAAGUCCGCUGUAAAAGUCAAAGGCUCAACCUUUGAAAGCCGGUGGAUACUGUCGGGCUAGAGUCCGGAAGAGGCGAGUGGAAUUCCUGGUGUAGCGGUGGAAUGCGCAGAUAUCAGGAGGAAUACCGAUGGCGAAGGCAGGUCUCUGGGCUAUAACUGACGCUCAUGCACGAAAGCGUGGGGAGCAAACAGG
rnacentral:rRNA from 1 species